AUCUAAACCACCAAUAUCAGCAUAGGAUUCCAAUGGAGCCUUCUCAACCUUCAUAACAGAUACCAUGGGGUCGACCUCGUCUUGUAGAAGCCCAACAACAGAAAGGACCUUGUUGUGCAUGAGAAUGGCACAUCCAGGCUCCAGCUGGUCUUUAUCGACAAACGACAAGAUCCCAACAUAGUACUCCGGACCGACAGACGACGACACAAUCGCAUGAUUCUCAUCAAUCAGCUCCUCCAGAUUCCCAACGCUCAUCGGCGACCCACGAAGGUCGUCGA
rnacentral:misc_RNA from 1 species